rnacentral:lncRNA from 1 species
AUUUCUUCAUCUAAUUGUUCUUUGUCCCACAAACAAUACCCAUCAAAGAACCUAAAAUCCCUUGCCUUCACCACAUUUCUCUUCACCAUCUCAGCAGCAUACCCUACACUUUCUUUAGUCCCAUAGUACAACCCUUUCAUUACUUCUUCAAAACCCCCACUUUUCUCCACACCACCAUCAUCAUCAUCCUUUGUUGGACUCACCAAAAAAAACCCAUCUUCCAAUGGCCCACCGAAGAACAACGGCACAUGAGAGAACACCUCCGAGACAUCUCGGAUAGUUGUUGAUCUCAUUUCUUUGAU